CAGUAGCCGCGGUAAUACGUAGGGUGCGAGCGUUAAUCGGAAUUACUGGGCGUAAAGCGUGCGCAGGCGGUUUUGUAAGACAGGCGUGAAAUCCCCGGGCUCAACCUGGGAAUGGCGCUUGUGACUGCAAAGCUAGAGUGCGGCAGAGGGGGAUGGAAUUCCGCGUGUAGCAGUGAAAUGCGUAGAUAUGCGGAGGAAUACCGAUGGCGAAGGCAAUCCCCUGGGCCUGCACUGACGCUCAUGCACGAAAGCGUGGGGAGCAAACAGGAUUAGAUACCCCCGUAGUCCCUGUCUCUUAUAA
rnacentral:rRNA from 1 species